rnacentral:rRNA from 1 species
UACGUAGGGUGCGAGCGUUGUCCGGAAUUAUUGGGCGUAAAGAGCUCGUAGGCGGUCUGUCGCGUCGAAUGUGAAAACCCGGGGCUCAACCCCGGGCCUGCAUUCGAUACGGGCAGACUAGAGUUCGGUAGGGGAGUCUGGAAUUCCUGGUGUAGCGGUGAAAUGCGCAGAUAUCAGGAGGAACACCGGUGGCGAAGGCGGCUCUCUGGACCGAGACUGACGCUGAGGCGCGAAAGCGUGGGGAGCAAACAGG